GUCUACGGCCAUGCCACCCUGAACAAGCCCGAUGUCUGAUCUUGGAAGCUAAGCAGGGUCCGGCCUGGUUAGUACUUGAAUGGGAGACCACCUAGGAAGACCAGGUGCUGUAGGCA
rnacentral:rRNA from 1 species